UACAGAGGUCCCAAGCGUUGUUCGGAUUCACUGGGCGUAAAGGGUGCGUAGGUGGCCAGGUAAGUUUGAUGUGAAAGCUCGGAGCUUAACUCCGAAAUGGCAUUGAAUACUAUCUGGCUUGAGGGUCGGAGGGGAGACUGGAAUUCUCGGUGUAGCAGUGAAAUGCGUAGAUAUCGAGAGGAACACCAGUGGCGAAGGCGGGUCUCUGGGCCGAUACUGACGCUGAGGAGCGAAAGCGUGGGGAGCGAACAGG
rnacentral:rRNA from 1 species